AAAUUGAAGAGUUUGAUCAUGGCUCAGAUUGAACGCUGGCGGCAGGCCUAACACAUGCAAGUCGAACGGUAGGAAGCAGCUUGCUGCUUUGCUGACGAGUGGCGGACGGGUGAGUAAUGUCUGGGAAACUGCCUGAUGGAGGGGGAUAACUACUGGAAACGGUGGCUAAUACCGCAUAACGUCGCAAGACCAAAGAGGGGGACCUUCGGGCCUCUUGCCAUCAGAUGUGCCCAGAUGGGAUUAGCUUGUUGGUGAGGUAACGGCUCACCAAGGCGACGAUCCCUAGCUGGUCUGAGAGGAUGACCAGCCACACUGGAACUGAGACACGGUCCAGACUCCUACGGGAGGCAGCAGUGGGGAAUAUUGCACAAUGGGCGCAAGCCUGAUGCAGCCAUGCCGCGUGUAUGAAGAAGGCCUUCGGGUUGUAAAGUACUUUCAGCGGGGAGGAAGGUGUUGUGGUUAAUAACC
rnacentral:rRNA from 1 species